GAUGAACGCUGGCGGCGUGCCUAAUACGUGCAAGUCGAGCGAACGGAUGAGAAGCUUGCUUCUCUGAUGUUAGCGGCGGACGGGUGAGUAACACGUGGAUAACCUACCUAUAAGACUGGGAUAACUUCGGGAAACCGGAGCUAAUACCAGAUAAUAUUUUGAACCGCAUGGUUCAAAAGUGAAAGACGGUCUUGCUGUCACUUAUAGAUGGAUCCGCGCUGCAUUAGCUAGUUGGUAAGGUAACGGCUUACCAAGGCAACGAUGCAUAGCCGACCUGAGAGGGUGAUCGGCCACACUGGAACUGAGACACGGUCCAGACUCCUACGGGAGGCAGCAGUAGGGAAUCUUCCGCAAUGGGCGAAAGCCUGACGGAGCAACGCCGCGUGAGUGAUGAAGGUCUUCGGAUCGUAAAACUCUGUUAUUAGGGAAGAACAUAUGUGUAAGUAACUGUGCACAUCUUGACGGUACCUAAUCAGAAAGCCACGGCUAACUACGUG
rnacentral:rRNA from 1 species